rnacentral:rRNA from 1 species
UACGUAGGGGGCAAGCGUUGUCCGGAAUUAUUGGGCGUAAAGCGCGCGCAGGCGGUCAUUUAAGUCUGGUGUUUAAUCCCGGGGCUCAACCCCGGUUCGCAUUGGAAACUGGAUGACUUGAGUGUAAGAGAGGAAAGUGGAAUUCCACGUGUAGCGGUGAAAUGCGUAGAGAUGUGGAGGAACACCAGUGGCGAAGGCGACUUUCUGGCUUAUAACUGACGCUGAGGCGCG